rnacentral:rRNA from 1 species
UACAGAGGGGGCGAGCGUUGUUCGGAAUUACUGGGCGUAAAGGGCGCGUAGGCGGCCUGCUAAGUCGAACGUGAAAUCCCCGGGCUCAACCCGGGAACUGCGUCCGAUACUGGUGGGCUUGAGUAUGGAAGAGGGUCGCGGAAUUCCCGGUGUAGAGGUGAAAUUCGUAGAUAUCGGGAGGAACACCAGUGGCGAAGGCGGCGACCUGGGCCAAUACUGACGCUGAUGCGCGAAAGCCAGGGGAGCGAACGGG